rnacentral:rRNA from 1 species
UACGUAGGGGGCAAGCGUUGUCCGGAAUCAUUGGGCGUAAAGAGCGCGUAGGCGGUCCGUUAAGUCCGCUCUGAAAGCCCGGGGCUCAACCCCGGGAGGCGGGCGGAUACUGUCGGGCUAGAGUCCGGAAGAGGCGAGUGGAAUUCCUGGUGUAGCGGUGAAAUGCGCAGAUAUCAGGAGGAACACCAAUGGCGAAGGCAGCUCGCUGGGACGGUACUGACGCUGAGGCGCGAAAGCGUGGGGAGCAAACAGG